rnacentral:tRNA from 1 species
UCCUCGAUAGCUCAAUGGUAGAGCACCCGGCUGUUAACCGGGUGGUUGUAGGUUCGAGUCCUACUCGAGGAGCCA